AGCGAACGCUGGCGGCAGGCCUAACACAUGCAAGUCGAACGAACCUUUCGGGGUUAGUGGCGGAAGGAUGAGUAACACGUGGGAACGUGCCUUUAGGUUCGGAAUAACUCAGGGAAACAUGUGCUAAUACCGAAUGUGCCCUUCGGGGGAAAGAUUAAUCGCCUUUAGAGCGGCCCGCGUCUGAUUAGCUAGUUGGUUGAGGUAAUGGCUCACCAAGGCGGCGAUCAGUAGCUGGUCUGAGAGGAUGAUCAGCCACAUUGGGACUGAGACACGGCCCAAACUCCUACGGGAGGCAGCAGUGGGGAAUCUUGCGCAAUGGGCGAAAGCCUGACGCAGCCAUGCCGCGUGAAUGAUGAAGGUCUUAGGAUUGUAAAAUUCUUUCACCGGGGACGAUAAUGACGGUACCCGGAGAAGAAGCCCCGGCUAACUUCGUG
rnacentral:rRNA from 1 species